UACAGAGGUCUCAACCGUUGUUCGGAUUCAUUGGGCGUAAAGGGUGCGUAGGCGGUCGCGUAAGUCAGGUGUGAAAUCUCAGGGCUCAACCCUGAAACUGCACUUGAUACUGCGUGGCUCGGGUACUGGAGAGGAGACUGGAAUUUACGGUGUAGCAGUGAAAUGCGUAGAUAUCGGAAGGAACACCAGUGGCGAAAGCGGCUUCCUGGUCCAGCACCGACGUUCAGGCACGAAAGCGUGGGGAGCAAACAGG
rnacentral:rRNA from 1 species